rnacentral:rRNA from 1 species
UACGUAGGGUGCAAGCGUUAUCCGGAAUUAUUGGGCGUAAAGAGCUCGUAGGCGGUUUGUCGCGUCUGCUGUGAAAACUGGAGGCUCAACCUCCAGCCUGCAGUGGGUACGGGCAAACUAGAGUGCGGUAGGGGAGACUGGAAUUCCUGGUGUAGCGGUGAAAUGCGCAGAUAUCGGGAGGAACACCAGUGGCGAAGGCGAGUCUCUGGGCUGUAUCUGACGCUGAUGCGCGAAAGCUAGGGGAGCAAACGGG